CCGAGAGAGUACUCAGUUCUCAUUAGGCAUGACAUGCUGCAAUAAAGAAAACAAAUGCCCAUGCUGCCUUAUAAGAGCUGUGAACUUCAGUGG
rnacentral:pre_miRNA from 1 species